UACGGAGGGUGCUAGCGUUGUUCGGAAUUACUGGGCGUAAAGGGCGCGCAGGCGGCUGCUCAAGUCAGGCGUGAAAGGCCUGGGCUCAACCCGGGAAUUGCGCUUGAGACUGAGCUGGCUUGAGUGCGGGAGAGGAUGGUGGAAUUCCCAGUGUAGAGGUGAAAUUCGUAGAUAUUGGGAAGAACACCGGUGGCGAAGGCGGCCAUCUGGACCGUAACUGACGCUGAGGCGCGAAAGCGUGGGGAGCAAACAGG
rnacentral:rRNA from 1 species